rnacentral:rRNA from 1 species
CACCCUUNUNGGGGUUCGAUUAAGCCAUGCGAGUCGAGAGGGUUCNNACCCUCGGCGCACUGCUCAGUAACACGUGGAUAACCUACCCUGAGGAGGGGGAUAACCCCGGGAAACUGGGGAUAAUACCUCAUAGGUUUCAGAUGCUGGAAUGCUCUGAAACCGAAAUGCUCCGGCGCCUCAGGAUGGAUCUGCGGCCGAUUAGGUUGUUGUUGGGGUAACGGCCCAACAAGCCCGUCAUCGGUACGGGUUGUGAGAGCAAGAGCCCGGAGAUGGAUUCUGAGACACCAAUCCAGGCCCUACGGGGCGCAGCAGGCGCGAAACCUUUACAAUGCGAGCAAUCGUGAUAAGGGAACCCCGAGUGCCUGAAACCAGGCUGUUCAGGUGUUUAAAAAGCACCUGGAGAAAGGGCCGGGCAAGACCGGUGCCAGCCGCCGCGGUAAUACCGGCGGCUCGAGUGGUGGCCGCUAUUAUUGGGCUUAAAGCGUUCGUAGCUGGGUUGUUAAGUCUCUUGGGAAAUCUCACGGCUCAACCGUGAGGCGACUAA